rnacentral:lncRNA from 1 species
UGAAGUGCGGUGGAGUAGAGAAGCCCUUGCACAGGAACCGCAGAGUUGGGGAAUCAAUUUAUUGUCUGAAUGGGAGCUCAAAGAUGAAGUAACCUUUCAGAAGAAACAAAACACUGAAGCAGUGUCUAGAAGCACCCUUUCCCCCUCUUCCUCAUGACCUCCAUGCUGUGACUGGCCUCAGGGAGUUGGUGCUCCUUUUUCAAGAAGUCGC